rnacentral:rRNA from 1 species
UACGUAGGGGGCUAGCGUUGUCCGGAUUUAUUGGGCGUAAAGAGCGUGUAGGCGGCCAGGUAGGUCCGCUGUGAAAACUCGAGGCUCAACCUCGAGAUGUCGGCGGAAACCAUCUGGCUAGAGUCCGGAAGAGGAGAGUGGAAGUUCCUGGUGUAGCGGUGAAAUGCGCAGAUAUCAGGAGGAACACCGAUGGCGAAGGCAGGUCUCUGGGCCACUACUGACGCUGAGAAGCGAAAGCAUGGGGAGCGAACAGG